GUGUCAGCAGCCGCGGUAAUACGGAGGGGGCUAGCGUUGUUCGGAAUUACUGGGCGUAAAGCGCACGUAGGCGGCUUUGUAAGUUAGAGGUGAAAGCCCGGAGCUCAACUCCGGAAUUGCCUUUAAGACUGCAUCGCUUGAAUCAUGGAGAGGUGAGUGGAAUUCCGAGUGUAGAGGUGAAAUUCGUAGAUAUUCGGAAGAACACCAGUGGCGAAGGCGACUCACUGGACAUGUAUUGACGCUGAGGUGCGAAAGCGUGGGGAGCAAACAGGAUUAGAAACCCCCGUAGUCC
rnacentral:rRNA from 1 species